UUUUGUUUUAAUCUUUUGUUAACAAUUGUAUCUCUGUGGUGAGACGAAAUAAGUCUGAUCCUAAACCUAAGAGAAAGGACAGUCAUAUUUGCCAUCGAGUAUAAAUGUCUGCUGUGGACAUUUUGGCAGAGCCUCUUUAUUGGAGGUUAUAAAAAUCCUAGCUUUAAAAAAAUGUUACCAUUCAUGAAUUUAAUUUUAUGGCUUUUCUGUAUUUGUUGAGAUUUGAUGAUGUCCUAUCUACUAAGGAUGUGAAUCACAGCAGUUUCUGAGAUUAAAAUGUGUUUACAUUCCUAAGCCCUACUUAACCGUGCUUAUGAGGUUCUGGUUUAUCCACAUGUGCAGCUGGAUCCCAUUUUUUGUGUCUCACUUCACACUUUUAUUAUUAUUAUAUUGUCCUUGUCUGGCUUGGGUAUCAAAGUUAUACAAGCCUUAUAAAAUACUUUACAGUUUAUAAUCUUUUCUUUCCAAUGGGAAUUAUAUUUUUUAUUGAUACAGUUCUUGGGUUUUUUGCUGUUUUGGUUUUUUUUUUUUUCCCCCAGCUUUGCCAAAGACUUGAUGUCUUUGUUUUUUUUGUAAAAGUGGCUUUUGAUUCUACCGACCACAUUCUUUCUUCUUUGUCAUUUAAUUUACUUUUGAUUUCUUUCCUAGUUAUUUGAGCUCCUUUUUCUAGCUUCUUGAGUUGCAUAUUUAUCUCAUUUAUUUUUAUUUUCUCUUAAUUUUUAACAUAUGAAUCCAAGGCUAUAAAUUCUCCUCCAAGUGCCACUUGAACCAGAUCCCACAUACCUCAUCGUGGUUCAGAUCUGCACUUUGUUUCCAUUAAUGGAGUAAAGGAAUGUGUUUACGAUUUUGAAUUCUACGUUUAAAAAAAAAAGAAAGAAAAGAACUGUCUUUUGAAUGUAGAUUUUGAAAAUCUACUGCAUUGCAGUCAAAUACAACUAGUCUAUGCGAUUUGCCAUUUCCGUAAGGCGUCCUUUCUCUUAGGGUUUGAUUGAUUUUGAAUUGUUCAAGGUGUUAGAUAAGAAACAGUAUUCUCUAAUUGCUAGAAAUUAAUUUGCAUUUAUAUUCACAAGACCAAACUUGCUAAUUAUGUUUAUAUUUCCACUGUUGUAAUUUUUUGCCUGCUUCAUCCAUUCACUCUAAAUAGUUCCAAUUAGUACAAACUAAUAUGCUUCUGCUUUUUAUCCAUUGCUUCCUGUAAUCUUUGCUUUAAGUAUUUCAAAGUCACAUUGUUAGGUGUGAACAAGUCCAGAGCCCUUUUGUUAAAUGACACCAGGGAGCAGAUCCUUUUACACUAGUAAUUAUUGACAUAUUUAUCUAAUAUGCCUCUUCUUUUUCAUUUUCUCCUUCCCAGCUUUUUGCUGGGUUGGCUGAAUUUACCUUAUUGUUUUUUAUUUCCUUCUGUUUGUUUGUUCUAUUCUUUUAUUUAUUUUCUAUUAAUUCUUUAAAUUCUUAAUUUAUAUAUAAAAAAGACAUUAAAAAAUACUAAAUGUAUUAAAGCAAAGAUUAUGGCAUACCUUAACAAUGCAUUGAAUUUCUCAUCUCUAUCAUCAUUUUGUUAUACCUUUUAUGUUUUUGGUUUUUUUCCAGUUAGGUUUGGCUUUUUGUUUGUUUUGAGACAAGGUCUCUCUGUGUAGCCCUGGCUGUCUUAUAACUUGCUAUGUAGACCAAGCUAACCUUAAACUCACAGACUUCAAUCUGCCCCUCUCUGCCUCCUGAGCACUAGGAUUAAAACGCAUGCACCACAGCACCCAGCUAGCUAUACCCUUUAACCUCCAACCACCCCAAAAUCCAUAGUAGAAAAUAUUAAUCAUAUGGUCUGAUGGAUUGCCAAGGCAUUCAUUCUUAAGUGACCCCCCUCCUUUCUUCCAGGUUCACCCUACUCCCCAUUUCAACACCUUUAAAAGAUAUUUUAAAGUAUUUUGAGUAUCUGCAGAGCCAGGUAAGGGGUUUAAGGAUGCUGCGUAUAAGUUUUCUCUUUGUCCUGACAAUAUUACUCCUUUGCCAUCUAAUACUGGAGAUGAGACCUUCCUGUCAGGCACAAUGCCUCUUUCUAAGACUGCUGUUUUUUUGCCACAGCCUUUCAUAUAGGAAUAUGGUUGGGAUAUCAGUGACCAGUUGGGAUGUGAUAUCUCUCUUCUAUUCGGCAGAAUUCUUAGCCAGCCCUCUAUUUUCACCUCAUUUCUAUUUUUCUCCACCUCUUAGAGCAUGAUAAUAGUUUCCCCUUUUGUUUAUGAAAGCAGUUUGUUGCUUUUUACAGUUCUACUUUUUAGAUUUUUUUAAAUGCGUAUGGGUGUUUUGCCUAUCUAUGCAUAUUUGCCUCAUAUGUAUGAGGUAUCUUAGAGAGCCUGAAACAGGGUGUUAUACUCCCCCCUGGAACUGGAGUUCUGGGAUCUAAACCUAUGUCCUCUGCAAGAGCAACAAGCACCAUUAACUUCUGGUCCAUCUCUCUAGGGUCUGCUUUUAAGAUUCUUGAAAGAUACAGUAUCCAUAAAAUGUUUAUAUAUAUAUUAUAUAUAUAUACACAUAUAUAUGUAUAUAUACACACACAUGCAUACACACACACAUAUAUUAUAAUAUAUAUAAAACAUUCUAGUAGAAACUUUAAAAUUG
rnacentral:lncRNA from 1 species